AUUGAACGCUGGCGGCAGGCCUAACACAUGCAAGUCGAGCGGCAGCGGGAAAGUAGCUUGCUACUUUUGCCGGCGAGCGGCGGACGGGUGAGUAAUGCCUGGGAAAUUGCCCAGUCGAGGGGGAUAACAGUUGGAAACGACUGCUAAUACCGCAUACGCCCUACGGGGGAAAGCAGGGGACCUUCGGGCCUUGCGCGAUUGGAUAUGCCCAGGUGGGAUUAGCUAGUUGGUGAGGUAAUGGCUCACCAAGGGGACGAUCCCUAGCUGGUCUGGAGGGAUGAUCAGCCACACGGGAACUGGGAAACGGUCCAGACGCGUACGGGAGGCAGCAGUGGGGAAUAUGGCACAAUGGGGGAAACCCGGAUGCAGCCAUGCCGCGUGUGUGAAGAAGGCCUUCGGGUUGUAAAGCACUUUCAGCGAGGAGGAAAGGUUGAUGCCUAAUACGUAUCAACUGUGACGUUACUCGCAGAAGAAGCACCGGCUAACUCCGUGCCAGCAGCCGCGGUAA
rnacentral:rRNA from 1 species